UACAUGGAGCAGUUGUGUGGUAG
rnacentral:piRNA from 1 species